GGUCUGCAGGAGAAGAGUAAUUAGUGUGAACCAUCUGUGUCAAGGUUCACAUUAAGCCUCACCACCCUCAGGGUCGCUUAAAAGACGAGUGAAACUACGGAGACUGUCGUUGAGGAGGAAGAAAGAGGACAGCCCUCCUGAUUCUUUAGAGAUUGGGUGGAGAACUCUUCCCAUAUCAUUGAGUGUUCUCUAGUCAGAGGACUUUAAACUGCUGGAUUUCUCACUUGGUUUUCAGCUGUGGUCAGAACACUUGAUAUAGCCUUUCUCCCUCGGGGGGGAAAGAAAACAACAUCCUCUCCUGCACACAUUGUCAGACUCAUGAGGCCACAACUGACAUACAUGCUGGAAGGAGAAAGUGCUCUGUGGUGCCUUGUUUUCUCUUUUGAAUUACGUCCUCCUGAGACUGUGGCUGACCCUAGGCCCAUGGCGUUCCUGCAUCUGAUUGACGUGCGUGAUUAGCAGGCUAGUGAGAGAACCAGGGAAAUUGCUGUCAAAACAAUUACAUACAGGGACAUCAGAACAAUGGCUUGAGAGCCCCCAGGGACUUAGAGACCAUCCUAGCUCUGCUAGGCAUGCCCUCUGGGACCGUGGCCAAGUCACAUCAUCUCUUUGUGUCUUCGAUUUCUUCCUGGUGUGAUUAUCUUGGAACAAAGCCUGCUUCCUAGGUGUGAGCCUAUGCAGUUACCCUGGGACCCACACUCAGAAAGGUUUUGUUAUCUACUUGUAAAUUGGACUGAAUCCUGCCACCUUGCACAUUUUGUCAGUCCUUACCAAAUUCUAGAUUCUUAUAGUUUCCUCCAGUCUCUGGCUGCAACUCUUCAAAUUAACGUUUCCAACUGUUCUCCCACUUUCCCAACUUGGUGUCACUGAGAACCAAAAACCUGUUUGCCCAGUUCCUUACUGGAACUCUAGGUUGUCUCGCAAGCUGAAAUUGGAUGACAGGCAACCUUCAUGCCUGGAGCUGCUGCUGUGUAGGCCACUCAGGAAGUUUACUGAAAGUUCCACAUCUUCCAUGCUCUGCUCUGGGAAAUAAUCAUGACUGUGACACUGAUUUCUGUGCCAUCACCAAAGAUAUUCAAACUGGAAACCAGGAAGUUUGUCAGGUUGCCACUAUUGUUCUCACUAUACCAUCUAAAGACGCUUCAAGCCCAACGUUUAGAAAUCUUCUCAACUGGCUUCCCUCUGGACUCAGAAACUGGUUUUAUAGUUUGUUCCAACCUUUAAAUCUUUGCUUUUCUUUUUAUUUUCAUAGAAAUUCCCCUUAUUAAAUGCCUGAUGAUUUACACUAUCCAGCAAAUAUACUCUACUACCAAGUCCCAACAGAUGGUUCAGUUUGUUCUUAAUGAACAAAAGGAGACUGAACGAGUAAUGGACUUAUAUUGUUCAGAGAAAAAAGAAAAUUGUUUCUUCUUUCCCUGAACAGGAAGAGGGGCUGACAAACUCUCAGGCCAUCGUCACAGCCUUGUCUUGUCUUUGCCAUGUGUAGUCCAGUUUUAACAAGAAUGCUGCUGAAUAAGUUUAGUCAAGGUCCCCCCCACUCUUACUAUCUGAUCCCUCUCAAUACAUGGUCAGGUCCCUCACCCCUCACAUUUGAUGUAUGAGUCCUUCACCUGCCUUUUGCAGGAAACCCAUGAAAAAGUCAUCCCUUUAUUCUUGAUGUCUCCUCUUAGUAAUUUUCAAUCCACUGACCCCCUCACUUUGCUCGUUGACUGUAAUUUGCCACUUGUCCUGUUGUAUUGGGAGUUGAGCCCUGUCUCUCUCUCCUGUUGCAAUAGAGUC